rnacentral:rRNA from 1 species
UACGAAGGGGGCUAGCGUUGCUCGGAAUCACUGGGCGUAAAGCGCACGUAGGCGGAUCUUUUAAGUCGGGGGUGAAAUCCUGGAGCUCAACUCCAGAACUGCCUUCGAUACUGAAGAUCUCGAGUCCGGAAGAGGGGGGCGGAAUUCCCAGUGUAGCGGUGAAAUGCGUAGAUAUUGGGAGGAACACCAGUGGCGAAGGCGGUCCCCUGGGCCGGAACUGACGCUGAGGCGCGAAAGCGUGGGUAGCAAACGGGG